UUCUCAAAUCUACCGCUGAGAAUUUCAAAUUCAAUACAGAUUCAAUUUUACAAUAUUCGUCAAGCUAGCCCACUAACGUAACUCUUGUUCAAAUCCCCCCCUUUUCCAAUCUUAAUCACCAAAUUCGCCUCAUCAUAUUGGUAAUCAUGUUUAACGAGUAUAGAAAUGCUAAUAAAAGGCAACACUAGAUCUCAUUCACUAUAAAUAGAGGUACUGGAGAAGGCCUUGGAUCAUACAAUCCUACUCUCAAAACUACCUCUCUCUAGAUCUCUCUCUUUCCUUGUUUUGUGUAUAAUUCCGACCUUCAUAUUAUCAUAGAGAUUCUGAUUACUAAAUUUUAAUGCCAGGUACAAAGUUUUUUGUUUUGUUUUUACAUUCCCCUUCGAUGUCGGUCGGACUUAAACCGAGCUAUGAGAGCACGCUUCGAACUGGCCCAGGUUGUAAGGUUUAAGCCUUUGUUAUUUACUAAUUAGGUCUGUGUGUGUUACUUUCUGAGAAACUUAGAGUAAAUUUUUAGGACGUGUUCUUUUUGGUUGUAAAUUUUAUCAUUAGAAAAUAAGGAAUACAUAUUUUUCCCA